rnacentral:rRNA from 1 species
CAGCCGCCACGGUAAUACAGAGGAUGCAAGCGUUAUCUGGAAUGAUUGGGCGUAAAGCGACUGUAGGUGGCUUUUCAAGUCUGCAGUCAACUCCCAAGGCUCAACCCUGGACAGGCGGCGGAAACUACCAAGAUGGAGUACGGUAGGGGCAGAGGGAAUUUCCGGUGGAGCGGUGAAAUGCGUUGAGAUCGGAAAGAACACCAACGGUGAAAGCACUCUGCUGGGCCGACACUGACACUGAGAGACGAAAGUUAGGGGAGCAAAUGGGAUUAGAUACCCCUGUAGUCCCUGUCUCUUAUAC